rnacentral:lncRNA from 1 species
AUGAGAUAUGCUUCAGCUCCACUACCUCAGGAUCUGUCUCAGCUGCAGAGAAGCACCUGUCUGAGGUCCUAUCCUAGGCAGACCUGCCGAGCUCCUUACCAGGUACCAGGCUUUUCUUCAUGGGAUUUUAUGGACUGUAACCUGCCAGGCUCCUGUCCAUGGAAUUAUCCAGGUAAGAAUACUGGUGUGAGUAGCCAAUCCCUUCUCCAGGGGAUCUUACUACCCUGGGAUCAAACCCAGAUCUCCUUCAUUGCAGGUGGAUUCUUUACCAUCUGAGUUACCAGAGAAACCCCAUAUUGAAACACAUUUGAAAUAAAUAUAUAUGAUUAGAGAUUAAGCUGGACUUAGUCAUAAAUGUUUUAUUGUAGCAUUUAUGUACCAGUUAAGUAUAGGCUAGUGUUCUUUGCAGGGAUGAGAAGACCUAAUAGCUGUUGGAAUUAGCUCAACUGUGUCCAUGCAUAAUGCAAUGUAUUAUGUAUUUCUGAGGUCACAGACUCCUGUUAUGUCUCUCUUCCUCUUCCCUCCUUUCCUUGAUUUUUAUCUCUUUUUUCUCCUGAGAAUAAUUUGAGAGCCAAAUGUGGAGAUGUGGAGCUUAAAAGGACUGAAUCAGUGAAAUCUAGGCAUUUAUUGCAGGACAUUAUAUAUUCUAACGUUAAAAUCAGUAUUUUUUUUCUUGCUGCUAUGAAAUGAUUCAAAUUUUCAUAGUAGCACUGCUCUAUACCUGCCUUACCUGCAGAAUGUAUCUGAAAAUGACUAUUCCUUAUGUUUGAAAAAAUAUUUAAAUAUUUGUUUCUUGGUUGACUUGUCAAUUUUUAAUCAACUUUUAUUAUAUUGCCUAAAAAUCUAUAGCGGAAAAAUAGAAAGUCUUUAUAGAUCAUGAUGGAUAAAGAAUAAGUGGCCAAAUGGGAGGGAAAGUAUCCAUGACAGCUUAUGAAUUGGGCUCUACAAUGUGAAGACUUGAGGCUAGAAGAGUGGCAAAGGGCAUGUGGUGAUGGGGAUUCCUAGAAAGUAGUGGUUAAGUAGACCAAGAGAGGUACCACUCUGAAUAACUAAGUAUUUUGAGGAGUUACAUUAGGUAGAGGUCUUUACCUGACUAGGAGCUUUCAUCCUUUAAUUCUUCAGCUAUCAGCCAGUUUAUCAUGCCACAUACCUCAAAGUGAAAUUCCAUCCCUUUUGCUUACCGAAGUCACAACUCUGACUGACCAGCAAUAAGGGAUGCCCACCAGUUCACCAGAAUCUUGCUCAGUAUCCAUGUGACUACUAUAGAUGUUGCC